rnacentral:rRNA from 1 species
UACGUAGGGAGCAAGCGUUGUUCGGAUUUACUGGGCGUAAAGCGCACGUAGGCGGAUUGUAAGUCAGGGGUGAAAUCCCGGGGCUCAACCUCGGAACUGCCUUUGAUACUGCAAGUCUUGAGUCCGAUAGAGGUGAGUGGAAUUCCUAGUGUAGAGGUGAAAAUUCGUAGAUAUUCGGAAGAACACCAGUGGCGAAGGCGACUAACUGGACAUGUAUUGACGCUGAGGUGCGAAAGCGUGGGGAGCAAACAGGG